rnacentral:rRNA from 1 species
CUCAGGAUGAACGCUGGCGGCAUGCCUAACACAUGCAAGUCGAACGUUCUUGGUUUCAAGAAAGUGGCGGACGGGUGAGUAACAUGUAAGUACCGACGCUCAGGAAGGGGACAACAGCUGGAAACGGCUGCUAAUACCCUGUAUGCUAUUUCGUUAGUGAAAGUUUUUCGCCUGAGCAUGGGCUUGCACCUGAUUAGCUUGUUGGUGGGGUAAAGGCCUACCAAGGCUACGAUCAGUAGCUGGUUUGAGAGGAUGAUCAGCCACACUGGAUUUGAGAUACGAAACAGACUCCUACGGGAGGCAGCAGUGAGGAAUUUUCCGCAAUGGGCGAAAGCCUGACGGAGCAAUGCCGCGUGGAGGAAGAAUGCCUUAGGGUUGUAAACUCCUUUUCUCAUUGAAGAAUCAUGACGGUAUUUGAGGAAUAAGCAUCGGCCAAUUUCGUGCCAGCAGCCGCGGUAAUACGAGAGAUGCAAGCGUUAUCCGGAAUUAUUGGGCGUAAAGAGUCUGUAGGCGGCUUCGAUAAGUUUAAUGUUAAAUCUUAAAGCUCAACUUUAAAAAGGCAUUAAAAACUAUCAGGCUUGAGUAUAAUAGGGGUAAAGGGAAUUUCCAGUGUAGCGGUGAAAUGCAUAGAUAUUGGAAAGAACACCAACGGCGAAGGCACUUUACUAGGUUAAUACUGACGCUGAGAGACGAAAGCUAAGGUAGCGAACCGGAUUAGAUACCCGGGCAGUCUUAGCCGUAAACGAUGGACACUAAGUGGUAUAUCUUUGUGCUGCUGUAGCUAACGCG